ACUCCUACGGGAGGCAGCAGUGGGGAAUAUUGCACAAUGGGCGCAAGCCUGAUGCAGCCAUGCCGCGUGUAUGAAGAAGGCCUUCGGGUUGUAAAGUACUUUCAGCGGGGAGGAAGGUGUUGAGGUUAAUAACCUCAGCAAUUGACGUUACCCGCAGAAGAAGCACCGGCUAACUCCGUGCCAGCAGCCGCGGUAAUACGGAGGGUGCAAGCGUUAAUCGGAAUUACUGGGCGUAAAGCGCACGCAGGCGGUCUGUCAAGUCGGAUGUGAAAUCCCCGGGCUCAACCUGGGAACUGCAUUCGAAACUGGCAGGCUAGAGUCUUGUAGAGGGGGGUAGAAUUCCAGGUGUAGCGGUGAAAUGCGUAGAGAUCUGGAGGAAUACCGGUGGCGAAGGCGGCCCCCUGGACAAAGACUGACGCUCAGGUGCGAAAGCGUGGGGAGCAAACAGGAUUAGAAACCCCAGUAGUCCCAUG
rnacentral:rRNA from 1 species